rnacentral:lncRNA from 1 species
UUUUGGUGGCACCUUUCUUGCCUUUUCAUUUGCUUUUGGAAGAUGAAGCUUCAUCCGUGCGACCUCUUUUGUUGGACGACAUACUUGGGAGAACUUUUGGAAUUGAUGCGGUAAGAAUUGGACGAGAAUCGACCCCCAAAUUUGGUUGAGGUAAAUUGUUGAACACCUUGUGGAUGUGCCUUGAAAGAGUAGAUUUUGAAGAAUUUGGUUCGAUGCUCUAGGCUCCCUGUCAAUACCAGCACAAAAUAAGAAUUGGAGAGUGCGUGAGUGAAUUAUGUGUGUGAAAUUGAAGAAUUUUCGGAAGAAAAAUUCAAAAAUUCGAAAAGUAGUAUGUGGGAGGUUGAGAGAAAGAAAGGGAAGGGUUUAGGAAAUAAUUGGGGGAGAAAAUCUGAUUUUUAGAAAUUUAUAACGCCCAAUUAUAGCCUCGGACGGCCGUCCCACGUUUAAGCAUAUUUUUUCGGACGGCCGUCCGAGUGUUCUGCCUCACUACUUUUCAUGGGACGGCCGUCCCGUGUUUAUACCUAUUUCUGGGACGGCCGUCCGAGAUGUGCUGGUCCCUCACUGGUUUGGGGACGGCCGUCCGGGUUUUAUACCCGUUUUUCGGACGGCCGUCCGAAAUUUGCCCCCCCGUACUGGUUUGGAGACGGCCGUCCCGGUUUUAUGCCCAAUUUGGGGACGGCCGUCCCAACUGCCCUAAUGCCUAGCUCUUGGGAACGCCGUUUUUUCUUCAACUGCAAAUAUUGGAAGAGAAUGAAGAGGAAAGAAGUUUCUAACCGCAAACGAAGACCCAUUGCACACCGACAUCAUGAAGCUCGAUGCAAGUAUAAUUUCUACGCACGACUUUGUUUUUUGUUUUGUUUUGAAAUAAAUAGUAAUUUUCUACGCAGCCACAUAAGUUUGUUCGUAUGCAUCAAUAAUUAGCACAAUUUCAAUAUUUGCAGUUGAAGAAAAAAAAUAUGAGCAGUUUAUUGAUUAUCACUUCGAAAUUAUGUGUAGUCGCAUUGUUGUGUUAGAAUGCCUUGUAUAGUCAUAUAAAAAUUAGUCGUUCGCUGGUUCUGAUUGUGAAUUAUGUGAUAAAUUUGAAUUAUAGUUAUAUGUAGGUCUAGCCAUAUAGUAGUCAUGAAUAGUCACAUACUAGUGAUUUAUAUAUAUAUAUAUAUAUAUAUAUAUAUAUAUAUAUAUAUAUAUAUAUAUAUAUAUAUUGUGUUGUCUCAUUAUUGGGUGCCAUAUUUGAUGAAUUAGUAUUUACCAAUUGUAUCUCAUGCCUUUUUGACAUAAACUAUGUUGGGAUUUUUAUAAUAAAAAUAAUAUUUUAUUCAGUAUUUUCUUUGCUCACUUCUAUGAGGUCAUUUAGAUUAUUUUGGGACACUCGCUUUACUAUAUACAUAUAUGUUGAGCUCUUGUUGUGUGUCGUGUGUAAGCUCGUGCUUCAUUUGAAUGUGCAGUUUCAAUGAAGUUACAACGGAGAGAUAGGCUGCGCUGUUGUAUCCCAUAGGCGACACGAUCAGAACCUUUAUGCACCUCAUUUGAGAAGAGGUCGUAAAAUUCAUUUAAAGAGAACUACCUAGUCCGCACCUCACCUUGUUUAUCUUCAAAUUAUUGUGAAUAUUAUUGCAGUUAAAUUUCAACUAUGAAAAACAGAGAGCACAUGAAGUCCGAGCCUCAAUCCAUUAUUUCGUGAUAGAUCGUCAAAGUUCAGUCGUAGUUCCAAUAAUUUAAGACGAAUUUAUUUUUGAUCCUAUCAGGAUGAGCUUUUACGAUGAUCCAAAACAAGCGGACCUAUAUCCCUUGAUGAUGAAAAGGGAGACGAUAAAUUAUAUUUUAUUGUUAUUUGAUUUGAUGAAAAAUUAACGAUCUUAUAUUUUUUUUUGGUGUAGG